GCCAAAAAUCUAGCCCCAAACUGCCACCCCAAUACAUUACACCCAUAAUUAAAACAUUCAUUAAAUUUAGUAAAGGCGAUUGAAAAAUUAAUCGGCGCUAUAUAUCCAGUACCGCAAGGGAAAGAUGAAAUAAAAAUGAAAAACUUCAAGCACAAAAAAGCAGAGACUCUGCCUCGUACCUUUUGCAUCAUGGUUUAACUAGUCUAAUCAAGCGAAAAGACUUGAAGUUUGACAUCCCGAAACUAAGCGAGCUACUUCAGGGCAGCCUAACGAGCGCCCCCGUCUCUGUUGCAAAAGAGUGGGAAGACCCUCAAGUAGAAGUGACAAGCCUACCGAGCUUAGUGAUAGCUGGUUACUCAAGAAAUGGACUUUAGUCCAACCUAAAGUUAACUUAAUCCAACAAAAUCCCACCGUAACUUUAGAUUCAUUCAAAUAAGGUACAGCCUAUUUGAAACAGGAUACAACCUCAACUAAUGGGUUCUACGCCAAGUACAGCCCAACUAAGUGGGCCUAAGAGCAGCCACCUUCCAAAAAGCGUCAAAGCUUAAUUAUUCUCUAUCUAAAUACCCCAAACCCCAUCUAACCCUUUUACAGUAAUGAGUAAUUCUAUACAUCUAUAGAACCUUUUAUGUUAAAACUAGUAACAAGAAGACGACCCUUCUCUUAAAUGCAAACAUAAGCCAGAAAGGACACACCACUGGCAAUUAACACCCAUGAGCUACUAAUAGUGACACCAUGAAAAACCCCUAUUUAUUAAUAUGUUAACCUGACACAAGCGCAUUAAAAGAAAGAUUAAAAGGAAAAGAAGGAACUCGGCAAACAUUAACCCCGCCUGUUUACCAAAAACAUCGCCUCCUGAAUAAAUAUAGGAGGUCCGGCCUGCCCAGUGACUCUGUUCAACGGCCGCGGUAUCCUAACCGUGCAAAGGUAGCGUAAUCACUUGUCCUUUAAAUGGGGACUAGUAUGAACGGCACCACGAGGGUUACACUGUCUCCUUUCCCCAAUCAGUGAAACUGAUCUCCCCGUGAAGAAGCGGGGAUAUACAUAUAAGACGAGAAGACCCCAUGGAGCUUUAAACGAAACAACAGUCGCUACACGAUUUAAAUUUCAGAACCCCUACCUCUACCCGGGCGACAUGAUUGCUAGUUUUAGGUUGGGGUGACCAUGGAGUACAAACCAACCUCCCUGUUGAAAGGGGGUCCUCCCCUAAGCAAAAACCCACAACUUUAUGCAUCAAUAAAUUGACAUCAAUUGACCCAAUAUUUUGACCAACGAACCAAGUUACCCUGGGGAUAACAGCGCAAUCCAUUUUGAGAGCCCCUAUCGACAAAUGGGUUUACGACCUCGAUGUUGGAUCAGGGUAUCCUAGUGGCGCAGCCGCUACUAAAGGUUCGUUUGUUCAACGACUAAGACCCUACGUGA
rnacentral:rRNA from 1 species